AGGUGGGGGGGUGAUCUGGCUAUGACUUCUAUCACUCCACUGAUGGCCGGGGCUGAUCUGACUGGCUGGGAGGGUGUCCCCUUCUUCUCCCACUGCUCCAUGUGCCUCCCUCCUGAAGCUUCCCAGAUAGAAUAGAUAGAACUGGAGGACCAUUCUCCAGUCAAUGGUAUAUGAGCAGGGGCACUCUCUUGCUAUAACCUUAAGACAAGAACAAGGCUCCAAGACUGAGACUAGACAGAUCCAUGCAAAGAGGUCUCAGGGGAUAAAAUCAUGUUUUCCUUCUGCCU
rfam:Sus scrofa isolate TJ Tabasco breed Duroc chromosome 13, whole genome shotgun sequence.